UACGUAGGUGGCAAGCGUUGUCCGGAUUUACUGGGCGUAAAGAGCGCGCAGGCGGUCGAUCAAGUCGCGUGUGAAAGCCCCCGGCUCAACUGGGGAGGGUCACGCGAUACUGAUCGACUCGAAGACAGGAGAGGGUAGUGGAAUUCCCGGUGUAGUGGUGAAAUGCGUAGAUAUCGGGAGGAACACCAGUGGCGAAGGCGACUACCUGGCCUGUUCUUGACGCUGAGGCGCGAAAGCUAGGGGAGCAAACGGG
rnacentral:rRNA from 1 species